rnacentral:lncRNA from 10 species
UGGGUAAUCCAAGCCUCGGCAGGUACAGUUCCUCCCUCAGGGCCCAGGACACAGUGAGCAUACAAUAGACAUUAGCUGCUGUGGUGUCUUGAUUUCAAGCCCAGUGCAGAUGCAUCUGACUUACGAAACUUCAGUGACACCUGCUCUGUGCCAGACACUGAAGAUGGAGCAGUGAACAGCACUGACCCAGCCUGUCCUCCUGUUGCCUGCAGGCCAGAUGCCGUUCCAUUGUUUGCUGACUUUCAUUGAUUCUAUGAGAAGUCUGCAGUCUUUUGCAGCGUUGUUUUCCUAUGUAUAAUUGUCUCCUCCCACCCCACUCACCCCAGCUGCUUUCCACAUUCUCUCUCUUUGAUUUUCAGCAGUCUGCCCAUGAUGUGCCUAAAUAGGACUUUCUUUGCAUUCAUCUUGGCUGGGGCUCACUGAACUUUCUGAAUCUGUAGAUUAAUUUUCUUUUUUCAAUAAACCUUGGAAU